rnacentral:rRNA from 1 species
GACGAACGCUGGCGGCGUGCUUAACACAUGCAAGUCGAACGGAAAGGCCCUGCUUUUGUGGGGUGCUCGAGUGGCGAACGGGUGAGUAACACGUGAGUAACCUGCCCUUGACUUUGGUAUAACUUCAGGAAACUGGGGCUAAUACCGGAUAUGAGCUCCUGCUGCAUGGUGGGGGUUGGAAAGUUUCGGCGGUUGGGGAUGGACUCGCGGCUUAUCAGCUUGUUGGUGGGGUAGUGGCUUACCAAGGCUUUGACGGGUAGCCGGCCUGGGAGGGUGACCGGCCACAUUGGGACUGAGAUACGGCCCAGACUCCUACGGGAGGCAGAAGUGGGGAAUAUUGCAAAAUGGGCGGAAGCCUGAUGCAGCAACGCCGCGUGCGGGAUGACGGCCUUCGGGUUGUAAACCGCUUUCGCCUGUGACGAAGCGUGAGUGACGGUAAUGGGUAAAGAAGCACCGGCUAACUACGUG